rnacentral:lncRNA from 1 species
UGAACUCCGGUUGCUCUUGGCUUCAGUUGCCCUGCAUCAGAAAUGGUGUAUCUGAAAUAUGGUACGUGAUUACUGAACUUACUCUUUCUAUUCAUGGCAUAUAAUUCUAUAUAACUCUAUUUUAGAAGAUAAUACAACUUGUAGGAGCUUUGGCCACACAUGUGUAAUUAUUUACCUCUCUGCGAGUUAAAGACUAUCCUGUUCACACUAGCAUGAAGCAGCACCCUUAGGUUGUUAGGGUCUCCAGCUGCAAGUAAGUCGGCUGCUGUGUGGCGGUAGCCAGUCUCAUCAAAGAUGGUGCCACCAACUUUGGUCCCAGAAACAUGGUCAUAUGUGUAGCCAUUGAAAGGAGA